rnacentral:rRNA from 1 species
GAUGAACGCUAGCGGCAGGCCUGACACAUGCAAGUCGAGGGGUAGAACACUUCGGUGUUUGAGACCGGCGCACGGGUGCGUAACGCGUAUGCAAUCUACCUUGUACAGGGGAAUAGCCCAGAGAAAUUUGGAUUAAUGCCCCAUAGUAUAUAACCUUCGCAUGUUGGUUAUAUUAAAGUUCCAACGGUACAAGAUGAGCAUGCGUCCCAUUAGUUAGUUGGUAAGGGAACGGAUUACCAAGAAGAUGAUGGGUAGGGGUCCUGAGAGGGAGAUCCCCCACACUGGUACUGAGACACGGACCAGACUCCUACGGGAGGCAGCAGUGAGGAAUAUUGGUAAAUGGGCGCAAGCCUGAACCAGCCAUGCCGCGUGCAGGAAGACGGUCCUAUGGAUUGUAAACUGCUUUUAUACAGGAAGAAACAACUCUACGUGUAGAGUCUUGACGGUACUGUAGGAAUAAGGAUCGGCUAACUCCGUGCCAGCAGCCGCGGUAACAC